rnacentral:rRNA from 1 species
UGGGUGACCUGCCCUCAGCUCUGGGAUAAGCCUGGGAAACUGGGUCUAAUACUGGAUAUUCACUUCUCAUCGCAUGGUGGGUGGUGGAAAGUUUUUUCGGCUGGGGAUGGGCCCGCGGCCUAUCAGCUUGUUGGUGGGGUGAUGGCCUACCAAGGCGACGACGGGUAGCCGGCCUGAGAGGGCGUCCGGCCACACUGGGACUGAGACACGGUCCAGACCUCCGUACGGGAG